rnacentral:rRNA from 1 species
AGUGAACGCUGGCGGUAGGCCUAACACAUGCAAGUCGAACGGCAGCACAGGAGAGCUUGCUCUCUGGGUGGCGAGUGGCGGACGGGUGAGGAAUACAUCGGAAUCUACUCUGUCGUGGGGGAUAACGUAGGGAAACUUACGCUAAUACCGCAUACGACCUACGGGUGAAAGCAGGGGAUCUUCGGACCUUGCGCGAUUGAAUGAGCCGAUGUGGGAUUAGCUAGUUGGCGGGGUAAAGGCCCACCAAGGCGACGAUCCGUAGCUGUUCUGAGAGGAUGAUCAGCUAGACUGGAACUGAGACACGGUCCAGACUCCUACGGGAGGCAGCAGUGGGGAAUAUUGGACAAUGGGCGCAAGCCUGAUCCAGCCAUACCGCGUGGGUGAAGAAGGCCUUCGGGUUGUAAAGCCCUUUUGUUGGGAAAGAAAUCCAGCUGGCUAAUACCCGGUUGGGAUGACGGUACCCAAAGAAUAAGCACCGGCUAACUUCGUGCCAGCAGCCGCAGUAA